GCAAAAAUGAGCAUCAUCAUCAUCAACUGAUCGAUGUAAUACAAUAAGAAGUCCUCAAUCUUCAAUAAACGAAAGAAAAAACAAAAAGUCCAAACUGUAUGAAAUAUGCAACGAAGAAGAUCAAAUUGAGCAACAGCUAAUAGUAGAUAGAUUUUUACCAACUUGGUAUAAUAUAUAUGUGAAAUAGAAUGGAUACAUUUAAGCAGAGUUCUCAAGCAUGAACUUCUUGAUGAGUUCAAUAACUUCAUCUGCAGAUUCAGAGUAAGGAUUAUUAUUGAAGAAACCAUGCUGCUUUCCUUCAAAUUCAAUGUACUUAAUUUUCUUUCCCAUUUCUUUUAACCUUUUUGCAUACUCCUCUACCCUAUCUUUCAACAGUUCAUCGCUACCCACCAACACCAAGAUGGGAUCAAGAGCAACUGGUUCAAGAUUCAAGCUAGCUGGUCCAAAUGGGUUCGCCAAUGGGUGAUCUCUAUUUUCUCCAACAGGCAUAGAAAGCCUCCAAAAUCUGUCCAGAAUCUCUAGAUUCAGCAAAUGUUCACUAGGGCCUUCCUCUGACUUUGUCCUAGCAAGUCCACCAAAAAAUGGCGCCAAUAGGAUAUAACCUCGUACUCGAACCGGGGCCAACCCAUUCGAACCAGCACCAAACCGAACCGCUAAGUGGUGUGCAAUAUUACCACCAGAGGAGUCACCCAUAACAAAAACCUGCUCAAAGUUAACUUCACCACUACUAAGCCAUGCAUCUCCACCAUUUUCACUCCUCAAAGCCUGAGCUUGCAGCCACUGCAUGGCACGAAUUCCAUCCUCCAGCGCCGCCGGUAGCCUAUGCUCUGGCGCCAAACGGUAGUCUGGAGCGACAACAAGAGCGUUGAGCCCAGAAGCUAGCCGCAGACAGCAGUUGUGACAGUUAGGCCACAAGCGAGAGCCUACACAAAAACCACCGCCAUGAAUGAAAAACAAGAUGGGAAGUUUACAGUUUGAGGGUGAUAUCGACAUGGGUUUGUAAAGACGGAGAUGAAGGUUAUGAGUUUUGUCGAAGAGAUAGUCUCUAAAGAGGAUGGAGGUGUCAUUGAUGAUUGGUAGAUUGAAAUCAAUGUUUUUGGACCUGAAAAUGGUGCCAUCACUGAAGAGUUGGAGGACACCCAUGCAGUCUUCUACUAUAUGGGGGAGGGAACCCAUUUUUAGGUAAUUUUGGUUCUUGUAUUGGAGAUGAUGGUUUGGCAAUGGAGUUGUAUAUAUAGAGAAGAAGGGGAAGAGGAGGAGAAGAAGAAGUAUUAUUCAAAAGGAAAGGGUAAAUGUGUAAAUUGA
rnacentral:misc_RNA from 1 species